GAAAUCGAUUUUCCACGAAAACGAAACGAACGAGACUUUACAACCAAUAUGGAUUUUUCGAAUUAACAAAAAAUGUGUAGAUAAUUGUAUAUUAUCAAGUGAUUACAUACGAUGAAACUCGUCAAUAUUUUUCCCAUGAUUAGAAUGAUUGCAUGAAGAUAAUUGUAUCAAUUACGUGCAAUUUUGUCGGCAGAGUUUAAAUCCAAAAUGGCGAUUAGUUGUUUGGCUAUCGAGGAAUCCGCUUUCACAGAUAAACGCCGAAUUAAUUCACUGCUCUCUGUUUUCAUACGAUAGAUAUUAUUCGCUCGUAUCCUUUUAUUGUAAUAUGAAUUGGCCGAUUGCCAAAAACGAUUUUAUUACUUUUAUGUUCGGUGAAAAAUUGAUGGAAUAUUUCAUUUAGGUAUGAAAAUAAAAAUUUACUCGAAUAAGUAAUAGUUGCAGUUUUCACGAAUAAUUUAUCAUUUUUGAUGAACAAGUACGGUUUUACAAACGAAAUUUCAAAAGAAA